rnacentral:rRNA from 1 species
GACGAACGCUGGCUGCGUGCUUAACACAUGCAAGUCGAACGGAAAGGCCCUGCUUUUGUGGGGUGCUCGAGUGGCGAACGGGUGAGGAACACGUGAGUAACCUGCCCUUGACUUUGGGAUAACUUCAGGAAACUGGGGCUAAUACCGGAUAGGAGCUCCUGCUGCAUGGUGGGGGUUGGAAAGUUUCGGCGGUUGGGGAUGGACUCGCGGCUUAUCAGCUUGUUGGUGGGGUAGUGGCUUACCAAGGCUUUGACGGGUAGCCGGCCUGAGAGGGUGACCGGCCACAUUGGGACUGAGAUACGGCCCAGACUACUAAGGGAGGCAGCAGUGGGGAAUAUUGCACAAUGGGCGGAAGCCUGAUGCAGCAACGCCGCGUGCGGGAUGACGGCCUUCGGGUUGUAAACCGCUUUGGCCUGUGACGAAGCGUGAGUGACGGUAAUGGGUAAAGAAGCACCGGCUAACUACGUG